GCCCGCCUAGCUCAAUCGGAUAGAGCGUCAGACUCUUAGGCGGGUUGCAUAAUCCCUUGGAUUAUCUGAAGGCUGCGAGUUCGACCCUCGCGGUGGGCU
rnacentral:tRNA from 1 species